UACAGAGACUGCAAGCGUUAUUCGGAUUCACUGGCGUAAAGGGUGCGCAGGCGGUUGUGUGUGUCAGGUGUGAAAGCCCGGGGCUUAACCCCGGAAUUGCGCCUGAAACUACAUGACUAGAGCAUUGGAGAGGGUAGCGGAAUUCACGGUGUAGCAGUGAAAUGCGUAGAUAUCGUGAGGAACACCAGAGGCGAAGGCGGCUACCUGGACAAUUGCUGACGCUCAGGCACGAAAGCGUGGGGAGCAAAAGGG
rnacentral:rRNA from 1 species